CCACCGACGGCAAAACUCGUAAUUUUUUCCCCCUUUUUAACGCAAUCAUGCUUGCUGAAUGCAAGAAUAAUUCAAGCUUGUUUGUUAACGAAUCUUGGAGAGGAAAAUUUUAAUGGAAAUACCAAGUGGAUGGAAAAUUAUUACGUAUCAUCACUCACAAUAAUCGAGUGAAAUUCCAAGUUCCAGUCACUUACCCACAAUCCUGUUGUCCUCUGCAACCUUCCAAGUUCCAAUCACUUUUCUCCUGAAAUUCCUUCGGCCCUUUCGUCAUCAAAGUCUAGCUUCAUGAAGGCCACUCUAUUUUUAUAAAUGAUUUUUUUGGAUUAUUGUAACCGAGUUGAUUGCUCAAGUAGCUAGCCAUAUUGCACAGAACCAGAAAAAUAAUAAAAGUAAAUGCAAUUAACUUGUCCUUGUCAUCGAAUGGCUUUAUCAGUUCCUAUUAAAUAAGAAUAAAGAUUCAAAACUUAAUUGAAAACCAACGUAAUCUACUCUUGCUAAAUUCUAAAUGUGUACAGUUGCAUGUUAGUACAUACUUGAGAACUUAGUUCUGUAGCACUAUAAUGAGGAAAAAAAUCACCUACCUCUUGUGCACACAGGCAAUCAAGAAAAGAAUCAUAUAAGCUAUGAAGUCAUACUAUGAAGUGGUGUUUGCAAGUCCGAUAAUUCCCUCGAAAGGGUUUUUGUUAUAAGUGUUGGAAAAAAUCAUGAAUGUACAAUACAUAAGGAAGCUUCAGAAUCAUCUUGUCCUCUGCCACCAGUCUGGAACCUUCAAUCUCCCGCUUCUAUGUACAGAAAGUUGGACGCUAGGAAGCUUAUGCUUUACCUGU
rnacentral:misc_RNA from 1 species